AAUGACAGCCGUGCGGCGUUCGUGAACCAGCAUGGGGCGCCCCGCCAGCCGCCAUGGACGCUGAAAACAGGGUCGUCCUCAACGUGGGCGGCAUCCGGCAUGAAACUUACAAGGCCACGCUCAAAAAGAUUCCGGCCACCCGACUCUCCAGGUUAACUGAAGCACUAGCAAACUACGACCCUAUUUUAAAUGAAUAUUUCUUUGAUCGGCAUCCGGGAGUAUUUGCACAGGUGCUCAACUACUAUCGGACUGGCAAGCUCCACUACCCGACGGACGUCUGCGGCCCUCUGUUUGAAGAGGAGCUCGAGUUCUGGGGCCUCGACUCGAACCAGGUCGAGCCGUGUUGCUGGAUGACCUACACCCAGCACCGCGACACGCAGGAGACGCUGGCGGUGCUCGACCGGCUCGACCUGGACACCGACAAGCCCAACGAGGAGGAGGUGGCCCGCAAAUUCGGCUUCGAGGAUGACUACUACAACGGCACCGUCUCCUGGUGGCAGAACACCAAGCCCAAGCUGUGGUCACUCUUCGACGAGCCCUACUCGUCGCAGGCAGCGAAGAUUGUCGGCAUCAUCAGCGUGUUCUUCAUUUGCAUCUCAAUCGUGUCAUUCUGUCUCAAGACGCACCCGGACAUGCGCGUGCCGUGCAUCAAGAACGUCACCGUGCAGACAGCCUUCAACGGCACCGCCUGGACGCUGGACAAGUUCAAAACCAAUCCGCACGAUGCCUUCUUUUACAUCGAGUGUGUCUGUAACGCGUGGUUUACGUUCGAGAUCUUGGUCCGCUUCGUGGCGUCGCCCAACAAGAAGGCGUUCGUCACGUCUUCGGUCAACAUCAUCGACUACAUCGCCACGCUCAGCUUCUACAUCGACUUGAUGCUGCAGAAGUUCGCCGAGGACGUGGAGAAUGCCGAUAUUCUAGAGUUCUUUAGCAUUAUUCGUAUCAUGAGACUGUUCAAGCUCACGCGGCAUUCGAGUGGGCUGAAAAUUCUGAUGCAGACAUUUCGCGCCUCGGCCAAAGAGCUCACCCUUCUGGUAUUCUUCCUGGUGCUUGGCAUUGUCAUUUUCGCCUCGUUAGUCUAUUACGCCGAGCGGAUCCAGGUGAACCCGCACAAUAACUUCAACUCGAUCCCACUGGGACUCUGGUGGGCGCUGGUCACGAUGACCACAGUCGGCUACGGAGACAUGGUGCCCAAAACUUACGUGGGGAUGUUCGUCGGCACCCUAUGUGCCUUGGCAGGCGUGCUGACGAUUGCUCUGCCCGUGCCUGUCAUCGUCUCCAACUUCGCCAUGUACUAUUCGCACACGCAAGCGCGCGCCAAGCUGCCCAAGAAGCGCCGGCGAGUGAUAGCCGUCGAGCAGGUGCGGCCGGUCGCCCGCAAACCGGGCGGCAACGGGCCAGGCGGCAACGGCGGCAACCGCGGCGCCGCGCAGAAGAACCGCAAGGAGAGCAUGGGCAUCGCUUCCAAUAAUACUACAAACGGGACUAAGGGCUUAGCUAGCGUUGGACCGUAAUCCUCCCCCACCUGUUCCCCCCCUUCCGACUCCGAGCCACCGCCCGCCCCUCCUCACCGCCAGCGACAUAGGCUCAGCCACCACGCCUCAGCAUCCAAUCGGCCUAGGCAUGACCUCGAUGGCCAUGCGCCUAAAC
rnacentral:misc_RNA from 1 species